rnacentral:tRNA from 1 species
GCGAAGGUGGCGGAAUUGGUAGACGCACUAGCUUGAGGUGCUAGCGCUUUGACCGGCGUGGGGGUUCGAGUCCCCCUCUUCGCA